rnacentral:rRNA from 1 species
GGAACGAACGCUGGCGGCAUGCCUAAUACAUGCAAGUCGAACGAACACUUCGGUGUUAGUGGCGCACGGGUGCGUAACGCGUGGGAAUCUGCCCUUGGGUUCGGAAUAACAGUUGGAAACGACUGCUAAUACCGGAUGAUAUCGAAAGAUCAAAGAUUUAUCGCCCAGGGAUGAGCCCGCGUAGGAUUAGCUAGUUGGUGAGGUAAAGGCUCACCAAGGCGACGAUCCUUAGCUGGUCUGAGAGGAUGAUCAGCCACACUGGGACUGAGACACGGCCCAGACUCCUACGGGAGGCAGCAGUAGGGAAUAUUGGACAAUGGGCGCAAGCCUGAUCCAGCAAUGCCGCGUGAGUGAUGAAGGCCUUAGGGUUGUAAAGCUCUUUUACCCGAGAUGAUAAUGACAGUAGUCGGAGAAGUAAGCCCCGGACUAACUCCGCGCCAGCAGCCGC